GACGAACGCUGGCGGCGUGCUUAACACAUGCAAGUGGAGCGACGAACCGGGCUUCGGCCCGGGGCAGAGCCGCGAACGGGUGAGUAACACGUGGGUUACCUGCCCCGAUGACCGGGACAACCCGGGGAAACCCGGGCUAAUACCGGAUGUGCCCUUCGGGGGAAAGGAAGCUUCGGCCUCCGCAUCGGGAUGGGCCCGCGGCCCAUUAGCUUGUUGGUGGGGUAAUGGCCCACCAAGGCGACGAUGGGUAGCUGGUCUGAGAGGACGAUCAGCCACACUGGGACUGAGACACGGCCCAGACUCCUACGGGAGGCAGCAGUGGGGAAUCUUGCGCAAUGCGCGAAAGCGUGACGCAGCAACGCCGCGUGGGGGAAGACGGCCUUCGGGUUGUAAACCCCUUUCAGUUGGGACGAAGCUCUGCCGGUGAAUAGCCGGCCGGAGUGACGGUACCUUCAGAAGAAGCCCCGGCUAACUACGUGCCAGCCGCCGCAGUAAGAC
rnacentral:rRNA from 1 species